rnacentral:lncRNA from 1 species
GAUCGCCACAAGCAUCUCGCCAUGCACUUCUCACUGGCUUGCAUGAGAAAACCCCAUGUCUGUUAGCCUUGCUUGCUUUAUGCGGAGCUUGCCGGCAUCCUUCUCCAAGGCAUCCAGGUGCUCCACGUAGUGCAGCAGAAGUCCCUCCAUUUCAG